CCUACGGGAGGCAGCAGUGAGGAAUAUUGGUCAAUGGGCGGAAGCCUGAACCAGCCAAGUCGCGUGAGGGAAGACGGUCCUACGGGUCGUAAACCUCUUUUGCCAGGGAGCAACGGGGUCCAUGCGUGGGCGCGAGGAGAGUACCUGAAGAAAAAGCAUCGGCUAACUCCGUGCCAGCAGCCGCGGUAAUACGGAGGAUGCGAGCGUUAUCCGGAUUUAUUGGGUUUAAAGGGUGCGUAGGCGGGCUGUCAAGUCAACGGUAAAAUUUCGGGGCUCAACCCCGUCGUGCCGUUGAAACUGACGAC
rnacentral:rRNA from 1 species